CAGUCGCCGCGGGAAUACAGAGGAUCCGAGCGUUAUCCGGAAUUAUCGGGUUUAAAGGGUGCGUAGGCGGAUAGAUAAGUCAGUGGUGAAAGACGGUGGCUCAACCAUCGCAGUGCCGUUGAUACUGUUUAUCUUGAAUAUGGAUGAGGUAGGCGGAAUGUGGCAAGUAGCGGUGAAAUGCAUAGAUAUGCCACAGAACACCGAUUGCGAAGGCAGCUUACCAAGGCAAAAUUGACGCUGAGGCACGAAAUCGUGGGGAUCGAACAGGAUUAGAUACCCCGGUAGUCCCUGUUUCUUAUAC
rnacentral:rRNA from 1 species